rnacentral:rRNA from 1 species
AUACGUAGGGUGCGAGCGUUGUCCGGAAUCACUGGGCGUAAAGAGCUCGUAGGUGGUUUGUCGCGUCGUCUGUGAAAUUCCGGGGCUUAACUCCGGGCGUGCAGGCGAUACGGGCAUAACUUGAGUACUGUAGGGGAGACUGGAAUUCCUGGUGUAGCGGUGAAAUGCGCAGAUAUCAGGAGGAACACCGGUGGCGAAGGCGGGUCUCUGGGCAGUAACUGACGCUGAGGAGCGAAAGCAUGGGUAGCGAACAGGAUUAGAUACCCUGGUAGUCCAUGCCGUAAACGGUGGGCGCUAGGUGUAGGGGUCUUCCACGACUUCUGUGCCGUAGCUAACGCAUUAAGCGCCCCGCCUGGGGAGUACGGCCGCAAGGCUAAAACUCAAAGGAAUUGACGGGG